rnacentral:rRNA from 1 species
UACGGGGGGAGCAAGCGUUGUUCGGAUUUACUGGGCGUAAAGGGCGCGUAGGCGGCGUGGUAAGUCACUUGUGAAAUCUCUGAGCUUAACUCAGAACGGCCAAGUGAUACUGCUGUGCUAGAGUGCAGAAGGGGCAAUCGGAAUUCUUGGUGUAGCGGUGAAAUGCGUAGAUAUCAAGAGGAACACCUGAGGUGAAGACGGGUUGCCGGGCUGACACUGACGCUGAGGCGCGAAAGCCAGGGGAGCAAACGGG